GGGACAACCUACUACGAUGUCAGUGGAACCCACACAUUGUUCUGAAUGGCCCCUAUUAUUUUCAGCAACUGCCAACGUUCUAAUUCUAAAAGAAGAAGUGAGUAGUGACUAACAACACUUCACUAAGUAAAAUUGAUGAGAGCAAAAUAACAUGGGUUGCCUCUCAUGUUUGCCGCACAUAUUACAAGCUUCAGCUUACAUUAUACUUUUCAUUUUUUUCAUUCUCUCCUCUUUCUCAAACCCAGUUCAAUCUCAGUGUAAAAAUAGACCAGUCAUUUUCAAUUUUGGUGAUUCUAAUUCGGAUACGGGUGGACUCGUUGCCGGACUCGGGUACCCCAUUAACCUUCCAAAUGGUCGAAAUUUUUUCCGCCGUUCAACUGGCCGUCUCUCUGAUGGCCGCCUUAUUCUCGAUUUUCUAUGUCAAAGUGUUAAUACAAGGUUCCUGUGCCCAUACCUAGACUCUGUCGGAUCUAGUUUCUUGAAUGGAGCAAAUUUUGCUAUAGCGGGAUCCCGGUUACUACCCAAGUAUGAACCAUUCGCCUUAAAUAUUCAAGUCUUGCAGUUCCUUCAUUUCAAGGAUCGCUCAAUUGAACUUGUUAGUGCUGGGUCUGGAAAUUUAGUUGGUGAUGAAGGAUUUCGAAAUGCUCUUUUCAUGAUAGAUAUUGGACAGAAUGACCUAGCCGAUUCAUUUGCUAAGAACCUGUCUUACACAGAAGUAGUCAAGAUGAUCCCCUCCUUUGUUACAGAGAUCAGGAAUGCAAUUCAGGUCAUAUAUUCUCAAGGAGGAAGAAAAUUUUGGGUCCACAACACCGGACCAUUAGGAU
rnacentral:misc_RNA from 1 species